UAGUCAGUUGGUCGAGGGUAACGGCCUACCAAAGCGACGAUCAGUAGCCGGCCUGAGAGGGUGAACGGCCACAUUGGGACUGAGACACGGCCCAAACUCCUACGGGAGGCAGCAG
rnacentral:rRNA from 1 species